rnacentral:lncRNA from 10 species
CUCUUUUCCUGCCCGCGUAUCUCCCUUGGUGUUCCCCAGAAGACUGGCUCUCUCUAAUUCUGUGAGCCUACGUAAGGGGCCCGAAUGACAGAUCCCCAACAGCUAUGAGCCCCCUAAUAGGCACACAGACGUUGGACAGGUCUCCUAAGAGGUACUCAUCCCAGGGCCAUCCAGCGGCUUCAAGAUGCGGAUACGGCAGGGCUCCCUCAGGAGAGCACCAGUGAUAGUGGGUGUUCCCAGGAUGGAAGACAGCAGCUCAUGAUGGAACAGAGGUUCUUACGAGGUUAAUCGAAAUCACCUUCCAGCCUUCUGUGUUUCAGCUAAUUACGAUGGAAGAAAUGCAAGAAUUCCCAGGAAAUUUGUUUAAAAGACACAUAAUGAUAGAAAACUUACCAGAUUUUGCAUGUGCUAGUGUAUAUAGAAAGCAAAAUGAUGACAAAAAGAGCACUUACUGAAUAUUGACUCUAAUUAUCUCAGUCCCACCAAGGAAGAGGCCCUAUUGUUAUCCCCAUUAUGCCAAAGAGGAGAAAAGCUACAGAGAGGGUCAGUAACUUGCUCAAGUUCACACAGCUAUUAAGUAACUGAACUGACAGUCUACCCGAGGAAGCAUGGGUCCAGAAAGGAAGAGAAAAUCUACAAAUAGUGGACCUUCACUACCUUUGAAAACCAACUCAAGGCCGGGCACGGUGGCACGCACCUGUGGUCUGGGAGGCUGAGGCAGGAGGAUCACUUGACCCCAAGAGGUUGAGGCUGGAGUGAGCUCUGAUCGCGCCGCCGCACUCCAGCCUGGGCCACAGAGCGAGACCCUGCCUCUAAACAAACAAUUCAAGGUCUCCGGGUAACUUCCGAGCUCACUGUAUAAAACACCAAAAACAAAAAAAAAAGCCACAAACCCACAAAAAAACUAUAAACUCCACAAGGGCAGAGGCUGGACUGCACCCGUGCCAGGACUUGGGGUGUUCAGUCAUUUCCCAGCCACCUUUUGACCAGGUCUGCGAGGACCCCACUCCCACCCCAGGAUCGCCCCGUGGUGCCCGGAACGCCGGUGGUCACGGAGGUCAGCCGUGGUCAGGCUGCCCUAGGCUUCCCCUGAGGGAGCCACCCGCAGGGCCCACCUGGGUGGAGCCCCCCGCCGAGGCUGAAGUCGGAACUCCGCUUGGACCCAGGCGCGUCCCCUGGGGGUCUGCGUUCCAGAGGCGCCCUCCUCCCCCGCGCUAGGAAAGCGCUGCGCCCCACCGAGCCGCG